AUACGUAGGUGGCAAGCGUUAUCCGGAUUUACUGGGUGUAAAGGGUGCGCAGGCGGGACUGCAAGUUGGAUGUGAAAAUCCGAAGCUCAACUUCGGACCUGCAUCCCAAACUGUAGUUCUUGAGUGAAGUAGAGGUAGGCGGAAUUCCGAGUGUAGCGGUGAAAUGCGUAGAUAUUCGGAGGAACACCAGUGGCGAAGGCGGCCUACUGGGCUUUAACUGACGCUCAUGCACGAAAGCGUGGGGAGCAAACAGGAUUAGAUACCCUGGUAGUCCACGCUGUAAACGAUGAUUACUAGGUGUGGGGGGACUGACCCCUUCCGUGCCGCAGUUAACACAAUAAGUAAUCCACCUGGGGAGUACGGCCGCAAGGUUGAAACUCAAAUGAAUUGGCGGGG
rnacentral:rRNA from 1 species